rnacentral:tRNA from 1 species
GCCUUCGUGGUGUAGUGGUGAGCAUGUUCGACGCGUACUCGAGAGGUUCGUGGUUCGAAUCCCGGCGAGGGCA